rnacentral:rRNA from 1 species
GGUCAUAUUGGCGGUGGCGGAUCAACCCCGUGCGCCAAACUGUCCGCUCUAACAGACCGAAACGGUUCCCUGUGAGUAGGCCCCUUCAUUGGGGUCGAAAGCGCCUACGCAUCAACCAUAUGCAUACGAGACGUCGGUCAAAGUUACUGUGAACAAACCAGCGUGUCCAAAGCAGGCUUUCGCCUGAAUGUUCGAGCAUGUAAUAACAAGGGAUCGAUUCUCUCGGUUCCUUUUGUUGGUUUUACACCCGAGAAUGAAUGAUUCAGGCCACGGUGUCUGAGUUGGGUUUCCCGAGGCUUCGGCUGAGGCCCCAAUUAGGCCGUGUCCUUACGGGAUCAAUAGGGACUGACGGGGUCGUGCGUACUUCCGCGCCAGAGGUGAAAUUCUUAGAUCGCGGGAAGACGGACUUCUGCGAAAGCAUUCAACAAUGAUGUCUUCAUUAAUCAAGAACGAGAGUGUGGGGAUCGAAGAUGAUCAGAUACCGUCGUAGUCCACUACUGUAAACAAUGCCGUCUCAGGAUUGAGAAGUGAACCUAAUGACUUUCACAGCACUAACCCCUGAAACGAGAAAUCAAAGAUUAUGGGUUCAGGGGGGAGUACACUCGCAAGG